rnacentral:lncRNA from 1 species
CUGCGCUAUUUAUCUAUAUGAUAUUAUGCGAUUGUAUGUAAUAAUGUUAAUUAUCACAAUAUCCAUUAAUUUGGUGCGAAUUAAGUACCCUUGGAUGCACAUUUACGUGUGUCCACCAUUUUUCUUCAAUAAAAAAUAAUGUGAUGUUCGUCAGUAAAAACUGAUUAGAUCCCAGAUCCAUCAUUAUAGAACUUAGCUAUUUACACUUCACUCUGUUUAUUCUCGUAUUAUUUAUACAAAAUCAAUACGCAUACAUCAAAUGAAUG